GCGCCUGUAGCUCAGCUGGAUAGAGUGACAGACUCCGACUCUGUAGGUCGUGCGUUCGAAUCGCAUCAGGCGUACCA
rnacentral:tRNA from 1 species